rnacentral:rRNA from 1 species
UACGUAGGGUGCAAGCGUUAAUCGGAAUUACUGGCGUAAAGGCGUGCGCAGGCGGUUCGCUAAGACAGAUGUGAAAUCCCCGGGCUUAACCUGGGAACUGCAUUUGUGACUGGCGGGCUAGAGUAUGGCAGAGGGGGUAGGAAUUCCACGUGUAGCAGUGAAAUGCGUAGAGAUGUGGAGGAAUACCGAUGGCGAAGGCAGCCCCCUGGCCAAUACUGACGCUCAUGCACGAAGCGUGGGGAGCAAACAGG